AAACUUUCAACAACGGAUCUCUUGGUUCUGGCAUCGAUGAAGAACGCAGCGAAAUGCGAUAAGUAAUGUGAAUUGCAGAAUUUAGUGAAUCAUCGAAUCUUUGAACGCACAUUGCGCCCCGUGGUAUUCCGCGGGGCAUGCCUGUUCGAGCGUCAUUA
rnacentral:rRNA from 1 species